rnacentral:lncRNA from 1 species
CUUUAGGGAAGACAAUUACAUUAAGAGAAGGAUGAAUUUCUGCCUCUAACUGUGACGGGUACACUUAGGGGAAAGUCACCUUUUGCAGGACUUCACAAGACUAUCCAUGAUUUUUAUUGACUAGUAUGGUUUUCUUUGUUAUUUUUUAAACACCAACAAUGAGUCUGCUUUCACAGCACUGGACAUACUUAUGGAUUUCAGAAAGACAUGCCAAAAAGUGUGUUGUAAUUAGAGAACCCUCUUCUAUUCAUGCCCAGAGCAGUGUUCCUUCAAGCUGCAUCAUAGGGUCCUGCUCACGUGAUUCCUGCCUCCCCCCACCAGGCACACACACAGAGGGACUCGUCUCCUCUUGCUUAUUUGGAGUAAGUACUUAUUUAAUUUGUGCAUUUAUCCAGUGUGUGUGCUGACUGUCCUUUGUGUAUU